rnacentral:tRNA from 1 species
GGUUAUGGCUCAGUGGAAGAGUCUCUGUUUUGUAUUCAGAAGGUUCCAAGUUUAAUCUUUGGCAGCUCCA